AGGAGCAGAUACCUUGUGAAAAGAAAUAUUAAAUCUAAUUAUAUUUUAUACAUCUGUUCAUUGUUUAUAAAUAUAUUACAUUAAUUAAGAUCAUAUUUGUUCAAAUAUUUUAUAUAUUAAAUAAGUUUUAUUGGUAAGUACGAGAUAAAUGUAUAAAUCGAACAAAUUUCUUUGCGACAAAAACUUAACCUAAAAAUUACGAUAUGCAGAUAUUUUCACGUCAAAUUCGUGUUUAAAUGGACAUUUGUCCGUAAUUUAAAAAAUAAAAAUUCAAGGACCAGGAAGAAAAUUAACUGCUGGCUGGAUGCUGCUGGUCCAAAAUAAGCUACUGCACAUUAUUUCGGCUUGGAAUCCGCGUUCGUUUUUGCACUAAAAAUAAUUGAAGGGUUAAAAUGAUUCCUGCAAAUAUUUCGAUUUUCUGGAGAGCUAUUAUGAAGAUUUCUUCAAGUCGACGUGAAUUAAUAAUUAUUCCAAAGUGAAAUUGCUAAUUUUGAUUAAUUUUAGCAAUGUUCAAUAAAUGCUAAAUUUUUUUCAAAUUAUGACGACGUUCUACCUGGAUCAAGUGAAAAAUUCAGAAGAAAAGGAAGCAUAAUUGUGGAAUUGCAAGAGGAAAAGCGGCUGAUUAAAAAAUUAAUUAAUUCAUUUGAAAAGAAGAGGAUCUUUGAGCAAUGCUGCUCUGGCACUUCAACAUUUUCGACGAGGGAAUAAUUCUUCUUCUUCUUCUUGUUAAUUAGCCUUUUGUGUUAACUAGCCUUUUGGAGGAAAUAAUUAAUCGGUGGGUCUUUUUAAUUUUAACAAUAUAGUGCAACAACUGACAGAAAUUAUUUCUUUAUUAUUAAUUUUAUUAUUUUAUGUUUAAUGUUCUCUGUAACUAGAGAACAAAAUUUUCAAUUAAC